rnacentral:rRNA from 1 species
GUAACACGUGAGUAAUCUGCCCUAGCUCUGGGAUAGCUCCGGGAAACCGGGAUUAAUACCAGAUACGACACUUUAGACAUCUGUUGUGGUGGAAAGAAUUUCGGUAGGGAUGAGCUCGCGGCUAUCAGCUUGUUGGUGGGGUAAAGGCCUACCAAGGCGACGACGGGUAGCCGGCCUGAGAGGGCGACCGGCACACUGGGACUGAGACACGGCCCAGACUCCUACGGGAGGCAGCAGUGGGGAAUAUUGCGCAAUGGGCGAAAGCCUGACGCAGCGACGCCGCGUGGGGGAUGAAGGCCUUCGGGUUGUAAACCCCUUUCAGCAGGGACGAAGCGAAAAUGACGGUACCUAUAGAAGAAGCCCCGGCUAACUUCGUGCCAGCAGCCGCGGUAAUACGAGGGGGGCAAGCGUUGUUCGGAAUUAUUGGGCGUAAAGGGUGCGUAGGCGGUUUGACAAGUCUUAUGUGAAAUCUUCGGGCUCAACCGAAGUCUGCAUAGGAAACUGUCGGGCUUGAGUAUGGGCAGAGG